rnacentral:lncRNA from 1 species
GGCCAUCUGUGGUUUGCUCUAUAUAUUACUGCCAUUAUAUGAUAUCUGAUUCAAGAAAGUUAAAAAGUAAAGAGCCAGAUUUAUAGGUUAAAUUAGCAAAUUUAAAAAAACAAAAGUCUCAUGUAUUUAUGUGAUUGUUCUAAGUAUAAACACAGAAAGGGCCGGCUAUUCCAUUCUCUCUCAAACUGUUCUUCGUUUUGUUUGUUAAUAGCUACAGUUUUUUCAGUACAGUAUAGAUCAUUUAACUUAUAGGAUUACUAUUUUAUAUUUGAUAAUUGUAUUGUAAAACAAAACAUAUACUAUAUUUAUUCAAAAUCUGUGAAGAUGCUUCAAUCACAUAUGGGUAAAAAUGUUGUUUACUUUAAUC